ACCUUUUGUUCAAAAGAAGGCCGGAGCCAGA
rnacentral:piRNA from 1 species